GAUGUCAUCAGUAGACACCAGUAACUGAGUCUUUUCUGUCUCUUCAUUUUUUUCUACAGAAACCCGUGCCACUGCCACAUAAAGAGAGUCUCCUCUCCGCUCCUCUUCUCUUCUCUUCUCUCAAUGUAACUACUCUAUUCUCUACUUCUCGCUCCUUCCUCUCUGUUUAGUAUAUUUAUUUCACGCACACAUGUGAAGUUGCCUUUUCUCUGCAAUAUCUCUCUCUCUGCAUACUGCAAUGGCUACUGUUUCCUUCACCAAGGAAAGCGAGUACUUUCCAGCUGCGAAUUUUGAUGGAAGUUGCGAUUUGCCUGUUGGAGACUCGUAUUUCCAGUCACUAAAGCCGAGUUUUGACGAGGUCAACCAGCAUUGUUCUUUAGAUGCUUUGCCUAUAAUCAUUGAUGAGGCGUCGUUUCCGGUUGAAGAAAAAUGUGCCUUUCGCAAUUCACAUGGCCAAGAUGUCUUUGAUUUUUCGAUGGUGUCCGAGGAAAGCAAGACCACUUCACAAUUUACAUCUCAGCUAGCCUUUCUAAGCUUUGUAGAGCUUCCUUUACCACCGAAGAAGCAGAUGUGCUUAGAUGCUCAAUUCAGUUGUCAUAACUUCAUUGAUUUACAGAUGGAAAGUGAAGAUUCUUAUUCACCAUGCGUUGUGGAUAUAGAUAUUGAGAUGGAAACUAUUGCAAAACCCAAAUCUGGUGGUACAACUGUUGGAAGUAUAGAAAACGAAGAUCCAUUAACUGGGGUGGUGCAGAGACAGGCAAACCUGAAAACAUGUGGGAGAUUCAUGCAACUUUUUACAAAUCAUGGAUCAUCAUUGCUGAAGUUAAUUUCUAAAGGCAUACAAGUCAUUCACUGAGAGAGUUCAUGAUACACCAAACAACAGAUGGAGAAGAUAUAAGCGUGCAUCCUCAUUUGAUUCAAGAAAAAUUGUUCUCCUAUUCUCAAUCAUGUCAAGUUUGGGUACGUUGAUAUUGAUAUAUCUAACACUGAGAGUGAGGCAGACGGUUGAUGGGUAUGUCAAUGUCUAAUGGUUUUACGCCUUUGUGCUUCUAGUUCAUGCUUGAACUUGCCAUUUUAAGUUAUCUAUUGUGAAUAACUGGUGCUGGAGUUCUCUUUUGUGCCUUUCUUUUCUUUCUUUCUUUUCCCUCCCUUUUUAGGGUGUCCCUGUACAUAUGUAGUGAUUAUAUUCCAAUUUAUUAGUUGAUUUACCGUCUA